rnacentral:sRNA from 1 species
GCUACUUCAUAACUGCAAUUUUGCUACUGCUAUGAAUCGUAUUGUAAAUAUCUGAUAUGCAGGAUACCUGAUAUGUUGUGCGACCCUGUGAAGGGGUUGUUUGACCUGCCUCCAAAGGGGUUAUGACCCAUAGGUUGAGAACUUCUGCCUACAGCAACCUAAAUGCUGCCCCUUUGCCCAUUCCAGGUCAAUCUUGUUUUUUCCCUCUCUUCUGUAUGCUCUCACCUUUUAACAGUGGAUCUCUCUUCCCGGAGCCUUGUGUGGCUGAUCCCUCUGCCCUCUGACUGCCACCUGAACCCUUCCUCUUCACCCAGUUUUUCAGCUCCAUGCUCUUUAUGGGUCCUUACUGAUUCCAAGACAGGCUCAGUUUCCCCACAAUAUAUUCUGGCCUUCAGCACAUUUUGGGGUUCAGGACACAAGACUCCAAAAAAUGUGACUGUAGAAAUCCACCAAAAUAUACCAUCUAAAAUAUGCCUAUGACAUGUCUAUUUUGAGAGGUUAUUUCAAGAAAUCACAGAUAUGGAAGCAUUGACACUUGCUUGUUCAUAUAAAAAACUACAUGUUUUUUGGUUUUUUUUAAUCUCAUAUGUAAGUGUGUCUCAUUGUCUGCACCAGGAAAAUGAUUAAGUCAAUAGAGACUCUAAUCUGUGAAGAAGGUGUUAGGUACAUCUGAGUUAACAUUACCUUCCUCUCCUUAAUGGCAUUCUCCUGGACCUCAAGCAAUAUUCAAGCUUUUCUCUUCAUUGCUGUGUAUUGUCCCAGCAUCUGCUAGAAAUCCAGACCCCUAGAUUCCUUCCUGCAGUUAAGGAUUAGACAUGGGCCUCAGUCACCUGUCUGAUGCUUUGAGUCGUCUAGUUUUAUGUAACAUAUAAUUACAUUUAUUUUUCUCUGGCUAACAGGCCAAGUGAAUUCACAGAUGAUCCAGGAAAGGAACUUUGAAGUAGAGAAAAAAGCAACUCUUCCUUCCUUGUAUUAAUUCAUGUCCACGUCUCUCCUGCAGUGUAAGCUUGUUCCCAUCUAGGUUCUGACUUAAAAUAUGGCUGACAGUGUGAGCACUCUCUAGUUAGUUGUUAAAUAAAUUAACUUAGUGAUGACACAUGGUGGGACUCUCUCAGUCAUAAUUUCUUGCUCUCCAGAGCGACUGAAAAUGUCAUAGACACAAAUGACUGUAAUCUAUGCUUAAAGGACUGAAAUAAUCGUUAUCUCCUCCAGGGUAAGUUCUGGGACCACAGCAGGAGGCGAGGAGUCCUGUACAUACAUACCAAGAAGCAAUGAAAGAGGAUGGUUUAAACAGUAGAAAUCAUCAGCCUCUUACAUGACCUCGAAACAGACUUGGGGGCUGCUCCAGGUCAAACUACCUCCAGGGUAGGCAGAACCCUCCCCUUCCACUGUUAAGGGGUGUUAACUGGAGACACGUCCGUCCGGAUGUCUGACACCAACACAGGAAGUAAACAUCUCAAUGCAUUCCAGCCCUACCCUCACCCCAAGCCACAGCAAGUGGCUGGCACUCACCAGAAGGCAGAAGAACCACAAUGGAUAGACCAUCUUGUGACCCUGGCCGCCUUGAUCUCUCCUGGGGGCAGGGAAGUGAGCCAUCAGAUCAGAGUUAUGUUCUAUGUUGCACACUUUGGAGCCUCAACGUCCUCCUCUGAACAAUGGGAAACAUCAUGGAGUAUCCUGAGUAUUGGAUGGACCAGCGUCUGGCAUAAAAUAAGAACAAUAUCGAUGUCAUUUAUCCUAAAAUAACUGAGAUAUUCUACCUCACUGAAGAUAUUCUACCCAUAAACAGACACCACUUGGGGGAAAUAGAGAAAUACUACUCUGCUCAAGACUUGAAGAGCGACUUAUAAACACACCAAUACCUAAGGUCUCCACCUAGUCUACCACGUGUCUGAAGUGAACCAGAUGCCAUCUACUGGGACCCUCCCCAAGUAUUUAUAGAAGCAUAUGCAGCAUUGUGAAUUUACGGUCGUGCAUGUACAGCCUCGUGCAUGCACAGUGUCAAUGUCCAGUCUUGCCCUUGAAGCACCGUGCAAACAGAGCAUGGAAAUGAAACUGUUGCACCUGAUUUCUGAGAGAAGGGAACCAGUGGCCACUCUGGUUUUACUGGUAGUCACCUGAAAGCAACUCAGUUUAGCAGAGGCCAAAGCUGUGUAGCUGCUCUCACAGGCUAGAAAGGUUGAGUUCCUCUGUUUGCUUGGCCUCUGCUCAUUUGUCUCCUGAAUAUUCAGAACCCAAGAUUGCUGUCCAUCUGUGUCAGCUCUGAAAAGAGAUUCCCAGAUCCAGCACUGCAGGUUACCCUUGUCUGAUAGAGCCAUUUGUUAGAUGUUCCUUUUUUUGCCUAUUUGACUAUGCAACUAAAAAUAAGUCAAAUCGCACCUCUCUGCCACACACAUCUGCCAUCCCCAGUUGCCACCUCAGACACCAAAAGGGACUGCCAGGUGCUGUGCUCGACACACAUGUCCACUUUCCCCUUCAUUCCCCCCCCCUUUCCGGUAGACACGUUCAUUCCUCCAACUCCGCCAUCGCCAUCCCAUGAGAAAUGAUUACUGCUUUUAGAUUGAGAUAUUUUUAACUAAUAACCCCAGUCGCAUCUGUUUAUUGUUUAGCUUGCAUGGAAUGAUUUAGAAGAAGAUAAUAGCAAUUUCAAUGGAAUCCCACCUAUUCUUUUCUGUCUGUCACUUCCCUGUCAGAGAAACAAAGCUCUUUGUCUCCAUCCUCCCUGUCUGCAUCCCUCUCUGGCUGGCUUUGUCUUCUUGCCUCCCUUGACACUCAGUUUUCUGUACCUCUGCUUCUUCCCUUCCGUUCCCCUCCUCCCCUCCCCCUGCAUUCAUUUCAUCAUGAUCCAGGCCUCUAACCCCUGGUUCUUCCCCCAUCUGCUUCCUAAUUUCAUCCUUGGUAAUCCAGAUGGUGGAUAUACUAGAGGCUAGUUUAUGUUUAUUCUAUACUGUAAGUGGCUGGGAUGGAGGAUGUCUCUGUGGUUAAAGACUUGCCUACCAUUCAUGAGACACCCCACCUCACCCCACCCCCAGUCUAAUUCCUAGCACUGGAAUGAAAAGGAAAGGCCAAUCACCACUCUCCCCUCAUAACUGCUUUCUUUGAUGGAUACCUGCAAGCCUUGGUCCUCUCCCCCAUGGGCCAGUAAAGGCCCUUCCUUUGCCUGUUGCCUAAGUUUCACUGUUAGGCCCAACAUAUGUAUUCAUUCUCCUGCACUUGGUGUGUGUGUGUGGGGGGGGGGGUGCCUAUCUGAUCCAGACCAGAAAAAAGCCUCUCUGCGUGUGUACUCUCACUCACACCCUUGCCCUACAUUUAAACUCAGCUGCAAAACCCUGCAUGCCAGUGAGCUGGGCAAGGAAAGGCACUGGAAAUACAAGCCUAAUUUAAAUUCAUACAUGCUCAUAAUAAUAAAUAAAAGGUUUUUCCAGUUGCUUUGUCAAAAGGUAAAUAAAGCUCAAACCAUAUUAACCCCUUAGGCUUCUCUAUGGCCACCUCUGCCAAUAUUCACUUCAGACUUGCAUGGCUUGGACCAUUAGUUGAUUCUCAACUGUGAUGGCCACCUUCUAAUGCCCAUACUGAGAAGGUCAUGCAAUAGGUACAAGGACCUGAAUAAUUGCAUUUCUUUAAGCUUCAUUUGUUGAAAGGCACCUUUCAUUGUGAUUGUACUAAGUAAGGUUUGUCAUGGACGGUGAUUAAGACAUGAAGGUGUCACCCCGUGACUGUUCUUGUGCUCAUAUAAAAGAGUUCCAGGGGAGCAUAUUUGCGCCAACUGGUGGCCACACCACUGGAGAGUAUCAUCUAUGACACCAGGAGUCUCUCCAGAGCAGCCAGCAUCAAGACCAUGAAGUUCCCAUUGUUUAUAAGCCAUCUUGUCUAAGCUAUUGGUGCAGCUUGACCUGACAACAGGCCUUCGGGAGACAUUCACUGAUGGAGCAUCUCCAAAGUGUUCGAUAUUCCUAGACAUUGCCUGCCAUACCCUCUUUAAAGACAUCUACCAAGCCCUUACUCCAUUAAAAAAUGAAAUAGAAAUGACUCAGCCCCUCAAGACCCAUGUUGCUUGCUUUGGUUCUCACCAGC